UACGUAGGUGGCGAGCGUUGUCCGGAAUUACUGGGUGUAAAGGGCGUGUAGGCGGGGAAACAAGUCAGAUGUGAAAUUCUGGGGCUCAACCCCAGCGCUGCAUCUGAAACUGUAUCUCUUGAGUGCUGGAGAGGAAAGCGGAAUUCCUAGUGUAGCGGUGAAAUGCGUAGAUAUUAGGAGGAACACCAGUGGCGAAGGCGGCCUUCUGGACAGUAACUGACGCUGAGGCGCGAAAGCGUGGGGAGCAAACAGG
rnacentral:rRNA from 1 species